GGAGUGAGGCCGAUGGUGCUCUUUGGGUUGGUCAGAAUACUUCUUUAAAACGUUAAAAGGAAUAGGAACAAGAAUCUCUGAUUAGACAUGGGAGCCAGUCAAUACUGAGGGAGAUGGAACUUAUACUUACCCCAAGAAGUUUUCGAGUGUAGAAGAACUUAUCUGGAAUAUCAUAAACCCGGUAGUACCAGACAAAGAGGAAGACGUUCAUCCCCAGCCAUACCAGCUGCACAAACAGAAGUGGUUGCGUGAAGUUGUCAUGUUUCAACAGGUAGAUUUCACAGCAGUUUAGAGUCAGACCAGGGUCAGGACUUCCCCAAGUACAGCCUUUGAUUAAGGUGGUUACAAAGCCAGCUCCUUCCUGCAAGAGUAUCACUACACUUCUCUAUGAGGAACAGAGGAUGGAGGAUGAGGGACACCCCCCGCUUUCUGCUUCAAGUGGCAUUUUGGAAGUGGCUGCCUUUCCACCGGAAGCUCCGGCUCCCACCGGCCAGCCUUCCCCACUGUGGCCUGAGCUCCUGCUGGCCGUCACCACUGUAGUUCCAGUUCCUGCCACAGGCCCUGGCUUCUGGGCUUGACUUACACCACCUCCUGCCAGGUUUCGUCCAACCCGGAGGGCGGUCACCACUCCCUGUAGUUGUUAAUCUUGAUGUUGCCUCUGCGCCCAGGUUGGGAUUCGCCUCUUUCCCAUCAUCCAUGUAGCAAAUCCCUGGGGUGAAAUUCCCUCUGCUGAAAUAGGGUGGUUUCUGUUUUCCUGACUGGACUUUGCCUGAUACAGAAAGGAAUUCAGACCUGUACUCAUUUUCUGGUGGAAUUAAAGAAGGGAGGCAUAUAUGCCUAAUGAGGAAUAAAACACCUUAAAAUCUG